rnacentral:misc_RNA from 1 species
AAAGUCGUAACAAGGUUUCCGUAGGUGAACCUGCGGAAGGAUCAUUACAAAACUAGUCGUUCGUGUCAGGGUAACCUGAUUACGAUGUAAGCUCACUAGUCACCCUUGAAUAAACUACCUUUGUUGCUUUGGCGGGCCGCCUGUUGGCCAGUGGCUCCCGCUGCUGCGCGCCCGCCAGAGGACCCCUAACUCUUGUUUUUAGUGGCGUCUGAGUACUAUAUAAUAGUUAAAACUUUCAACAACGGAUCUCUUGGUUCUG